GGCGGCGUGCUUACACAUGCAAGUCGAACGAUGAAGCCUUUCGGGGUGGAUUAGUGGCGAACGGGUGAGUAACACGUGGGCAAUCUGCCCUUCACUCUGGGACAAGCCCUGGAAACGGGGUCUAAUACCGGAUAAUACUUUUCUCCGCAUGGGGGAAGGUUGAAAGCUCCGGCGGUGAAGGAUGAGCCCGCGGCCUAUCAGCUUGUUGGUGGGGUGAUGGCCUACCAAGGCGACGACGGGUAGCCGGCCUGAGAGGGCGACCGGCCACACUGGGACUGAGACACGGCCCAGACUCCUACGGGAGGCAGCAGUGGGGAAUAUUGCACAAUGGGCGAAAGCCUGAUGCAGCGACGCCGCGUGAGGGAUGACGGCCUUCGGGUUGUAAACCUCUUUCAGCAGGGAAGAAGCGAAAGUGACGGUACCUGCAGAAGAAGCGCCGGCUAACUACGUGCCAGCAGCCG
rnacentral:rRNA from 1 species